rnacentral:lncRNA from 1 species
GUGUUCUGCUUAACUAGCAAGGAUUGUCGAUGCCAUAAAUGUUUCGCUCGCGAGGUUCCAAAGUGUUUUUUGUUCAUGUGUGUCUGCUACAGAAUAUGACUGCAAAAUAAUUAAGUUGAAAAAUAGUUUUUAUGUAUUUUCGAAGUGUAUAAUUUUUGUAUAAGUCAUAUGAUGUUUGUACUUAAGAAUAAAUUUAAUGAAUGCCUCGACAUUGUUUGAUUUAGACAUAUGUAAAAUUAUUGCUCCUGUUAUGAACAAAAUAUAUCAAAAAUAUUAUAUAUAUUUUAUUACUACAUGUUUAUACUAAUAUUUUUUAGCAAAGUUAAAAUUACAAAUGCAUCACCAUGAUGUAUCUGUAUCUCAAAUAGAUAAAAAUAAAGAAAACAGAAAUUUGGGUAGCCAAAAACUAAAUCCAGACCAUAGAUAAUAAAUCAUAUGAAAUGAAAAUAAGGUAGCUCUAAAUUGAUGGUAAAAAUUUGGACCGUUAAAAAAGGAACUAAAUUCUACAAAGAGUCAUAUUUUAAUUGACUUCAAAAAUUGCAAAUUUAUCUGCACAAAUAUUCUCUUUCGUGUAAGUAUGAGAGACUCUGAAAUUUAUAGAGAUGAUUUUUUAUUGCCACGUGACUAAAUCUAUGAUAAACAGCUGAAGUAACGAAAAAAACAAAGAUAGGCUCCAACUUGUUAUACAUGGCAGUUAUCAAAAGUUAAGGAGUUUGUAUCACCAAGUUCUAAAGAGUUUUUUUUUUUUUUUUUUUUUUUUCAAGUAGUUUAGUGGUUAGGAUUCAUCUUUCGAAUCUCGACCCCUGCAUAUAACAAUAUAUGUCCUUAUCAACUAAGUUAUAUUCAUGGACGUGUUUUUCUUUAUUAUUCAAGCUUGCACGCAUGAAUGUCAUUUUUCCUCCAAUAUUUAUUCUUCACAUAACUAUUUUUACAAUUUUGUCCUUUGUUAUCAAUUAAAUAACUUAUUUUUUAAAAUAAUUUGAUAAAACUUUACAACUUCUAUUAUAUCUUAAUUGCAAAAGCAAAAGGAUGGAAAUGUUAGUGUCCAUUUAGACGCUAGUAUGUAUAAUAUAAUUUUAAUAAAAAUAUAUAAUAAAAUUUUCGUAAAAAAAUGACCUUUUACUAUCAUCGAUAUUUUUUUGUGAUAAUUUCAAAAAGGUUAGAUGAUCAAUUGAGUGAGCUAAAAGAUUUAUACAAUACAUUUAUAUACUAAGAAACACUUAACACUAAUUUAUAUUUUAUGUAUGCCUUUUUAAAAUUCUAAGAAUUAAGGACUACUAAAUUGAAGUUAACCAUGCAUGGUUUUUACUUAUAAACUGAUUAAUCAAUUUUCUAUCUAUUAUAUCAAAUGCAAAAAAAAAAAAAAAAUAUGGCUGAAAUUUCCAAAUUCUUUUAUGCUUUCAUCAUUUUCAUUUCUCUAAUUCUUGAUGUCACCAAUGCCGGUAAGUCCUUGUUCGCAUACAUUUCAAACUUUCAUAUUAUACACAAUCAUUCAUCCCUUUUUAGUAAUAUUCAUUUGUUCUUAAUUUAAACCAGGUCCUAUUUUCUGCUAUAACGACGAUGAUUGUCCACAUAUAUGUAGCCAUCCUCGUGUUCAAAAGUGCCGUAUGUUUUUGUGUCACUGCGAGGAAGUUGAGGAGAAAGAUGAAAAAUAAUUGUUUUUUCUAAGCGUAUGCUUUUUUUUGAAUGCCAAAAUGCUGGUACUUCAAGAAUAAAUAUGAGUAUGUUCUUAUUGAAAUUUUAGAAAGAGAAAAAUCUGAACUAAUCAUUUUAUUGGCAAAUGUUAGAAAUUAAUUUUUAUGCUAAAGUUGUGUUGUCGUUUAGUAAGAAAUAAGAAUUUCAAUUUUUGUCAUAUUUCUAGUCUCUAGUUUAUUAUGCAUUUGAAACAGUUUUACAAAUCAAACACGGAACAAUCGGAAUUGUUUUAUCAUAUCCUUCAUUUUUUAGCAUAUCAAACGCACCAAAUGUUUAUACUAAUAUUUUUAAGCAAAAUUAAAAUCCCAAAUGCAUCAUCACAAUGCAUUCGCAUUCAAAAUAUGUUGACACCCAAAUAAAAAUAAAGAAAACAAAAAAUUUGGGAGCCAAAAACGAAAUCCAUACAGCAUAUAAUAAAUUAUAUGAAAUGAAAUUAGGUAGCUCUAAUCAUUGAUGGUAAAAAUCUGAGCUGAUAAAAAAAAGAAUUGAAUUUCACACAGUCAUAUUUUUAAUUGACGAUACAAGUUUAUUGGCACAAAUAUUCUCUUCCGUGUAAGUAUGAGAUACUUUGAAAUUUAUAGAGAUGAUUUUGUAUUGCCACAAGAUUAACUCUUUAGUGUUUAGG